UUUUAUAUGAGAGUUUGAUCCUGGCUCAGGAUGAACGCCGGCGGUGUGCCUAAUACAUGCAAGUCGAACGCGUUGGCCCAGCUGAUUGGACGUGCUUGCACGGACUUGACGUUGGUUUACCAGCGAGUGGCGGACGGGUGAGUAACACGUAGGUAACCUGCCCCAAAGCGGGGGAUAACAUUUGGAAACAGAUGCUAAUACCGCAUAACAAUUUGAAUCGCAUGAUUCAAAUUUAAAAGAUGG
rnacentral:rRNA from 1 species